rnacentral:rRNA from 1 species
AAUCAACGCUGGCGGCGUGCCUAACACAUGCAAGUCGAGCGGGAAAGGGGGCUUCGGCCCCUGAGUAUAGCGGCGGACGGGUGAGUAACACGUGGGUAAUUUGCCCUUGGGUGUGGAAUAACUCAGGGAAACUUGAGCUAAUACCGCAUGACAUCCCCUUCACGCACGAGUCGGGGAUCAAAGCCGGGGACCUUUCGGGGCCUGGCGCCUGAGGAGAAGCCCGCGCCCGAUUAGCUAGUUGGUGAGGUAAUGGCUCACCAAGGCUACGAUCGGUAGCCGGCCUGAGAGGGGCGGACGGCCACACUGGGACUGAGACACCGGCCCAGACUCCGUACGGGAGGCAGCAGGUGGGGUAAUUUUUGUCAAGUGGGGGAAACCCUGAACAAGCAACGCCGCGUGGAGGACGAA